AUCACAAAAAGGAAAAUACUACUAGGAACUAACAGUCAAGAAAAAUGACAGAGCCUGGUUUUGAAAAUGAAGCUAAUUUAUUCACUCGCUCCCUCGGCGGUGAAGCAGAAAGGAGUGGAAAGGAUGUGAAGUGAUAACAGUGAUGAAAGCUGUGGCAUCCUUCUGUGGUGCUGUGACAUUCGAAGACGCCAGUGAAGAUCAAAGCCAGGUUGAGCCAGCAAUUUACAAAGCCCAAGUCAAUGAGAAAACAUGGUUUACAUUUUCACUUGCUUUCAUGCAGAAAAUAAAUUCCAUGGAAAGGAAACUCUUAAUAACUAGCCUGUAGUAAAGAGUAUGGCAUAACUGGCAUAACUCUUUCUGUCUGAGAAGCAUGAAGGUUGCGUCACUGAAGACCGUGCCUGCCAGAAGCUGCCAUGAGCAAAGAAGAGGAGUGCUACCAGUGCCUGAGGGUCCUUACACUGGCAAGGAAUUGAUACUGUAAGAUAUACCAGAUUGUUUGAGCAGUUUCCCCCAUGGCUAAGCAUAAGGCAUUUCUUGAUCUGCAUUUUCUGGGAGGUAAAAGUUUUAACGAAGUUAUAGAAGAUUCCUCAUUGUGACAGGUUAUAAAAUCAGGAGUAAAGGGAUAAAGCUGCACACACUUUCCCAGCUUUCCAGGCAGGAUGUCCACUUAUUCUCAUCAGAGAGCUGAAUCUGUCCUUCUCUGGGAGUAAUCAGAGCAUUUGCCUAAGGAUAUUCCACCCAUGGUGAAGCGCCCAAGGAAGUUAUCUGUGGCCUCCAGACAUCUCAAAGAUAUUCGUAUACUACUGGGACUAGGCUAAAAAGUAAGAAUAGAUAUUGCUGCUCCCCUUUACUCCUUCCCAGUAUUAAAGAAGAGAAGCUUUGUAGGCUAUACAUAUCAAAAGGUUUUGCUGCAGAGAAGACUCCAGACGUCCCCUGCUGAUCCAAACUAGGUUGGAUAUUGUACAUAUUUUCCUUGGAGAGUGAAACUCUCUUCUCUGCCUAAGCAGAGUUUUACCGUGUGUAAAUUGGAGUAUUUGAACAGAGAUGGAAUCUGGCAUGACAUACUCAUGUGGAACUUUGUCUUGAUUUGAUGGUCAGAAAAAAACCAAAUGCACGGGAAUAGUCAGUGCUGCUUCAAUUCAACCUAAAGAUAAUGAAAUGGCAGCAAAAAAGCUACAGUAGGAAGAGAAGAGAAUUUGUCAUGUUCCUGAUGGAUUGUGAUGUGUAAAAUAGAAUUGGAGGUGGCAAGGGACUGUCAGCAAUUGAAGAAAGCUCUUACAGAGGCCUAAAUAAUGC